AUGGAGCUCGGCCUGCCCACUGCCUUCGUGCUCAUCCUCUACUGGAUGGGCGGCCUCGACCCGCGCCCGACUUCCUUCCUGCUCUCCCUCCUCGUCGUCCUCUACAGCGUGCUCGUCGCCCAGAGCCUCGGCCUCGCCGUGGGAGCCGUGUUCAUGGACGUCAAGCAGGGCACCACGCUCGCCUCCGUCAUCACCAUGGUCUUCCUCAUCGCCGGCGGCUACUACGUGCAGCACAUCCCGCCAUUCAUCGGAUGGCUCAAGUGGCUCAACUACAGCUUCUACUGCUACCGCCUCCUCCUCGGCAUCCAGUUCCGCGAUGGCGGCGGCCUCUACGACUGCGGCGGCGGCACGCUCUGCCCCGUUGCCGACUUCCCCGCCAUCAAGGCCGUCGGGCUCAACAACCACUGGGUGGACGUCUGCGUCAUGGCGCUCCUCCUCGUCGGCUACCGGGUCGUCGCCUACCUUGCCUUGGACCGCCUGCAGCCGAGGUGA
rnacentral:rRNA from 1 species